UCUUGAGUGGAAACAUCUUUAUUUUACGAGACAGGCAGGUAGGAGUGCGUCUAAAAUAGGUGUUACACGUAGCUUCUGCAGCUCUAAACUGAACAUAUUAAACCUUCUGUUUGCAUAUGGAAAAUAAAAAUGAUGUUCGUAACAAGUACCACGAACAAUGUCUGAAGUGCAGCCUUCUCUGACCAGGUAACUGGAGCACAGCAUUAGCUACCAGUAAAGAACAUUACUGACAUGUCUCUUUUGGACACCCAGUCCUUACUACAUGUGUUUGAUACAGCAAGAAAAAAUAUUUUAGACACUAUAUGCUGCAAUAAAUCUUUACAACAUUUCCACUUCCCUCAUUCCAUUUAACCUAUUUUACUUUAUCGAUCGGUUUAUCUUGUUCAGGUGGGACUACACUAGUUCAUAAGGAGACUCUUACUUCAGAGGCUGAUUCUGGAUCUUGUAAUUGAAAACUUCAGAGUAAUUGCUUUGGUUGCUAGGGAAUUAUAUAGUUGUCACUCCCAUUAUUUUAUGAUCCAUCUCAGGAUAAAAGAUUAGAAAGAUGAUAAAACAGGUGGUCUGAUUCGGAUCACGAACCUGGAGGAUCUCUAGAGCCACGCCUGGCUCCUUCUUUUUCUAUUUUCCUCAUAAUUAGCAAAUAUUUUUUGGGCAGCUCAUUCUCGUCCUGCAACAGGAAGUGAAGACGGUACGAACCCGGACUCUGUUGGGUAUCUGACGGUCGAAUGUGAAUCUUGAAAGGAGUCCAAAUGUAAGGCGUCAAUCGUUUAUCAGUUUUGGAGAAAAUCUUUGUGACUUUAAUUAGAUUCAGUCAGCAACUGAUUUGCAGUAUUGGUAAAUGAGUAAUAUAUUGAAAGGGUGUCAAUAUGGUGGAUUGGAGUCUCGCUCCAGAUAACUAUGGCCUAUCGCAAGGGUUGGCAUACUAACAAGAUGUCUAAUUUCCCUUUGGGAUUAAGAAAGUAUUUUGAAUUUGAUUCAAGAGCAGAGGACCAGGCCUUCAUUUUUCUAAAACCACUUCCACAUAUUUG